CCAAUAGCGUAUAUUAAAGUUGUUGCAGUUAAAAAGCUCGUCGUUGAAUUUCGGGGUCAGCAGGUCGGUCGUGCCAAUGGUAUGCACUGGCCUUGCUGAUUCCUCCCUCUUGAUGAGCCGUAAUGUCAUUAAUUUGGUGUUGCGGGGAAUCAGGAUUGUUACUUUGAAAAAAUUAGAGUGUUUAAAGCAGGCAAGCGCUUGAAUACAUUAGCAUGGAAUAAUGAAAUAGGACGUUUGAUCCUAUUUUGUUGGUUUCUAGGAUUGACGCAAUGAUUAAUAGGGAUAGUUGGGGGCAUUAGUAUUCAAUUGUCAGAGGUGAAAUUCUUGGAUUUAUUGAAGACUAACUACUGCGAAAGCAUUUGCCAAGGAUGUUUUCAUUAAUCAAGAACGAAAGUUAGGGGAUCGAAGACGAUCAGAUACCGUCGUAGUCUUAACCAUAAACUAUGCCGACUAGGGAUCGGAUGAUGUUAAUUUUUUAAUGACUCAUUCGGCGCCUUACG
rnacentral:rRNA from 1 species